GGGGGCCCGCAAGCAGCGGAGCAUGUGGUUUAAUUCGAAGCAACGCGAAGAACCUUACCUAGACUUGACAUCUCCUGCAUUACCCUUAAUCGGGGAAGUUCUUUCGGGAACAGGAAGACAGGUGGUGCAUGGUUGUCGUCAGCUCGUGUCGUGAGAUGUUGGGUUAAGUCCCGCAACGAGCGCAACCCUUAUUGUUAGUUGCUACCAUUUAGUUGAGCACUCUAGCGAGACUGCCCGGGUUAACCGGGAGGAAGGUGGGGAUGACGUCAAAUCAUCAUGCCCCUUAUGUCUAGGGCUACACACGUGCUACAAUGGCAAGUACAAAGAGAAGCAAGACCGCGAGGUGGAGCAAAACUCAAAAACUUGUCUCAGUUCGGAUUGUAGGCUGAAACUCGCCUACAUGAAGCUGGAGUUGCUAGUAAUCGCGAAUCAGCAUGUCGCGGUGAAUACGUUCCCGGGCCUUGUACACACC
rnacentral:rRNA from 1 species